GGAAAGCUGCCGCCAGCCCCGGUGGGUGCGGGGCGGGGGCGGGAUCACGUUACCCUCCCUCCUCCCCCAUCCGCUGCUUUGUUUCCCUGCCCCUGGCCGCGCUGGUGCGGACCGGAGGCUGCAGCUCAGGGAGAUCCGGCCCGCCUCCCCCGCCCCAGCGUGAAGAGGUUUCCAGCCUAUCCAGAUUUACAGUCUGGUUCAGUGGCUCUCAGCGCCCCCCACUGUACAGAUUGUUUCACCCCCCUGCCUGGGACUAGGACCUAGGCAUAAGAACGGGGAACAGCUGGUGGGGGGUGAACAUAGGGCUGGGGAGGCAAGCCCCUCCCCCCACUGUAGGGGCAGGACCCCAGCCCCUGAGUACCCCCAAUAACCCCCCCCCACACACACACACCUGCUGAGCACGGAGCCCAGGAGGGGCACACGGCCCCAGCCCGAGCCCCGGGGGCAGCCUCAGGAGAAGCCUGACCCGCUCCCCACAGGGGCCCUGCACCCACCUCCGCACUCAGCUGUGACUCUCAGCCGGCCUGGAAACCAGAAGGCUGAGGAAUCACGUCCACAUUUUGCUCCAGAUCGUCCCGUCUUCCAGAGGACAGAGAAGGGAAAUGGCUGUGAUGGAGACAGCUCAGAUGCCGGUGACCUUCGAGGAGGUGGCUGUGUAUUUCAC